AUCAUUACAGAGUUACUACUCCAAACCCAUUGUGAACCUUACCUAUGUUCUGUUGCCUCGGCGGCGUGGUCAGCGCCCCUCUGAAAAGAGGACGAUGCCCUCCCGCCGGCAGCACCAAACUCUUGAAUUUUACAGCGGAUUACAGUUCUGAUUUGAAAACAAAAAAACAAGUUAAAACUUUCAACAACGGAUCUCUUGGUUCUGGCAUCGAUGAAGAACGCAGCGAAAUGCGAUAAGUAAUGUGAAUUGCAGAAUUCAGUGAAUCAUCGAAUCUUUGAACGCACAUUGCGCCCGGCAGUAAUCUGCCGGCAUGCCUGUCCGAGCGUCAUUUCAACCCUCGAACCUCCGUUUCCUCAGGGAAGCUCAGGGUCGGUGUUGGGGCGCUACGGCGAGUCUUCGCGACCCUCCGUAGGCCCUGAAAUACAGUGGCGGUCCCGCCGCGGUUGCCUUCUGCGUAGUAAGUCUCUUUUGCAAGCUCGCAUUGGGUCCCGGCGGAGGCCUGCCGUCAAACCACCUAUAACUCCAGAUGGUUUGACC
rnacentral:rRNA from 1 species